UUUUACGGGAAAAUUAUUUUUGGUGGAAUUUUAUUUUUUGAAAAAUUUUGGCGGGAAAAUUGUGACGAGAAAUUUAUUUUAGAAUAUUUUAGGCAAAAAAAUAUUAAUAUUUCAUUUUGUUAACCUAAAACAAUUUCCAAAUAGGGGUAAAAUGAUCAUUAAAAAUUUAAAGAGGGUAGAAAUGAAAAUUGCUAAAAAAAAGGGUAGAGUUGAAAAGGGGCAUCAUGAAAAGGGCAUUAGAAAGAAUUUUUCUUUUAGUUUAAGAAUAGAACGAUUUAAAAAACAAAACAAAAAAUCAAAAAUUUUAUAUUGAACUCGGAGAUGUCAAAACUAAAUUUUGUUAAUACGCUAAGAUAUUUUAAAAUAAAAUGAUGUUGUACAAAUACAAUGCAAUGAUACUACUUUUUAGUUUAUAAAUAAACUUACAAAUAAAAAUUUAAAUAAUUAAUGG
rnacentral:sRNA from 1 species